GCAGCCCAACAGUCUCCCCCCACCCGCAGUUUCUGUCCUUGGUCAGCGUAGCCUCCAGAGUUCAGAAGAUCCUCUGCAGAGUUUACCUCCCAGCCUGGGUGGAAGCAGGAAAAGUGACGGUGACUCUGGAUCCAGACACGGCUCAUCCCCAGCUCGCCCUGUCUGAGGAUCGGAGACAUGUGAGAUGGGGACACGCCCGGCAGGAUCUGCCCGACAAUCCUGAGCGAUUUGACACUGGAUCAGUCAUAACCCUGAGAGGGGGGAGGGGGAGCAGGAAGUUGGAACAGCCCGCCAACACAGACAGCCGAGGAGUGAUUUUGGUCUGUGUGUGCCAAGCUACCAGAGCCAGCAACAUGGAGAA